rnacentral:rRNA from 1 species
GACGAACGCUGGCGGCGUGCUUAACACAUGCAAGUCGAACGGAAAGGCCCUGCUUUUGUGGGGUGCUCGAGUGGCGAACGGGUGAGUAACACGUGAGUAACCUGCCCUUGACUUUGGGAUAACUUCAGGAAACUGGGGCUAAUACCGGAUAGGAUCUCCUGCUGCAUGGUGGGGGUUGGAAAGUUUCGGCGGUUGGGGAUGGACUCGCGGCUUAUCAGCUUGUUGGUGGGGUAGUGGCUUACCAAGGCUUUGACGGGUAGCCGGCCUGAGAGGGUGACCGGCCACAUUGGGACUGAGAUACGGACCAGACUCCUACGGGAGGCAGCAGUGGGGAAUAUUGCACAAUGGGCGGAAGCCUGAUGCAGAAACGCCGCGUGCGGGAUGACGGCCUUCGGGUUGUAAACAGCUUUCGCCUGUGACGAAGCGUGAGUGACGGUAAUGGGUAAAGAAGCACCGGCUAACUACGUG